rnacentral:lncRNA from 1 species
UUUGAAUUAAUAAAAAAAAUCAGCAUAUGUUAUUGAUGUGCUGGUAAAUUUCUGUAAUCAUGUGCAUAAAUAAUUAGUUAAAUUUUGUAAUAAUGCGUGAAAAUUAAGAAUAGUAUUCUUUUUUUGCGAAGUUUUUGGUUGUGCAUCAAAUAAAAUUUGACAGCAACCCUCUGUAGGGGUCGGAGAGAGUACCGUUAUCAAAUCCAUUAUGCAAAACCUAUCUGGUUGGUUUUGAGGUAUGUGAUUGAUUAAUUAUGCUGUCGUUAUACUGCACAUUUUUUUUAUAAAUUUGUCGUA